rnacentral:lncRNA from 1 species
CUUGAUAAUACUAUAUGAAAGAAAAAGUAAUAAAAGAAGUAAGCAUAAAGCUUAGUAAGUUUACAAGUAAAUAAAUGACAUCAUUUAACAUAAAUAAGGAUAUGCAAGUAUCAUGUUCUUAAGUUUUCUCUUUACUUACUCUCAUUUACUUGUUUACUUACUUACCUACUUAGAUAGCUUAAGAUUAUAACUUAUUCUUCUCUUGCUGAAAUAUUG